CUUCCUAUCCUUCUCUGCCUCCUCCAUGCUAGCGCUCACCUAAGAGGAGUGGAAGCCUUACUCAGAAGCAGCGAUAGCACAGAUAGCUGCCACAGGGCAGGGGCUCCCAGGAUGAAAGCACUCAGCCAUACCCAUCUUUUUAUGGCAUUCUUCUGAGGAAACAUGUGGAAAAUAUUCGUAAGAAGAGGCAAGAGUUCCGAAGGCGUGUGCAGAAGGUCUGAGUCACCGUGGCCAAGAGGCACUGCCGCUGCCUGCCCGUGGGCAGGCUCAGGCCUGUCCUUCUGUCCUCAUGUUUUCCCUUCACAUGCCCACGCUCAGAAAAUGUUUGCUGAAUGACUGACCGGCUGCCGAGGUGAGAUAUACAGUUACGCCAUCUGCCAACAGACACCUCCUGAUAUCACUUAGUAUCAAACAAAUCAAGAAAUUCAAGGAACAUGGCUCUCUGAACCAACGGCUCUGAGGAGGAAGGACCUGAAUGUGCAAGCCGUCUAUGAGAACUGGACCCCAAUAUUCGGUGUUUCCCUGACCAGCUCAACCAUGAAACUGUUUGAGUCCCGUCAAGUUUGAAGAGCUCCUCCAUAGCCAUGCAGAGAGCUUCACUCAUGAUUAGCAGUUGUGAGGUUAAUAAGGCAAGGCUUACAAAGCAGUUCCAUCUCAAGGAGGCCCCAGCAAGCGUUGGUAGGUGACAUGCCCACGUGCCCUCCCCGAGGGCAGCCCCUGUACCUCCAGGUCCGAGUUGAUGGAGGAGACCUCGGAGGAGCUGCUGGAAGACACUCUGGCCUGGAUGACCUGGAUGGGAGGGUAUGAGGGAGGCUCUUGCGAGGCGGCGUCUCUGGUGCUUGUCUGCCCGUCACCGGGCAGCCUGGUGGCGCUACAGCCUGCCUGCAAAGAGUGAAGGAAAGGGUGGGCAGUGGCACUUGGUUUACGUCACCUCUCAACAUGCAAAGCAUUCCUGCACGUCAGUAUUCCACAGGCACAGAUGUGUGGGCUGCAGUGUCUCCUGGACCCUUAUUCCUCAGCAUCCAGAGGUGGCGGCACCCCUGUUCCCUGUGUCCUUCCAGAUAUUCCACAUGCACACACUCAAAUGCACACAUAUGUGUGCCCCCUACUUCCACUAAUAGAAGGUAGCACACUCUAUAGUCUCUUACAGGUUUUAUGUCCACUUAACAACGUGCCUUAGACAUGGUCUAUAUAAUAAGCUCGGGGUGUGGGGGGGGGUGUUGUUAAGAGUACCAUUAUAGGGCUGGAGAGAUGGCUCAGUGGUUAAGAGCACUGAGUGCUCUACCAGAGGACCUGAGUUCAAUUCCCAGCAACCACAUGGAGGCUCACAACCAUCUGUAAUGGGAUCCGAUGCUCUCUUCUGGUGUGUCUGAAGACAGCGACAGUGUACUCAUAUAAAAUAAAUCUUAAAAGAGAGAGGAGAGUAGCAUUAUAGAUGCUCAAAGUCUAUUUAGCCAGUCCCAGUCCAUGCUAACCGCGGUAGGUCACACCAGUGCAGUGGUGUGAACAAGAUGCUCCUCAUAGGCUGAGGCUUGAAUACUCAGCCCCUAGUUGGUGACCCUGGGCAGUUUAGGAGGUGUGGAAUUGUUGGAGGAAGUACAUCAGUGGGGGUGAGCUUUGACGGUUUAAGGUUCCUGCCGUUGCAGCCGGGAAGGUAGUGGUGGCACAUGCCUUUAAUCCCAGCACUUGGGAGGCAGAGGCAGGUGGAUUUCUGAGUUCGAGGCCAGCCUGGUCUACAGAGUGAGUUCCAGAACAGCCAGGGCUACAGAGAGAAACCCUGUCUCGAAAACCAACCCCCAAAAUAAAAUAAAAUAAAAUAAAAUAAAAUAAAAUAAA